CAGUCGCCGCGGUAAUACGUAGGUGGCAAGCGUUGUCCGGAAUUAUUGGGCGUAAAGGGCUCGCAGGCGGUUUCUUAAGUCUGAUGUGAAAGCCCCCGGCUCAACCGGGGAGGGUCAUUGGAAACUGGGAAACUUGAGUGCAGAAGAGGAGAGUGGAAUUCCACGUGUAGCGGCGAAAUGCGUAGAGAUGUGGAGGAACACCAGUGGCGAAGGCGACUCUCUGGUCUGUAACUGACGCUGAGGAGCGAAAGCGUGGGGAGCGAACAGGAUUAGAUACCCGUGUAGUCCCUGUCUCUUAUAC
rnacentral:rRNA from 1 species